CGUCACCGUUCACUGCGGCGGUGGAGCGAGGCUCUGAAUCGCAGCUGAUGCAGUGCAUGGGAUGACAACGAGGUCCCGUAAAAUGAGGCCUCUGCUCAGCAGCUGCAUCAAGUUGCUGAAGUUUCCCAGGAGAAAUUCUACGUUUGGCUGCUCAUCCAAAUCUUGUCUCAAUACUCUAAGCUGGGAAAGAAAUUAGAAACCUUUGUUGUUGGAAUCCCUGGGGGGGCUGGAGGACAGAGGCACAGAAGAGUGUGUGAGAAGGAUAAGAAAAGAAAGAGGACAGGAGCCACUGUCCCGUUUACUGAGCACUUACUAUAUUCCAGGCACUGAGGUGGACAUUGCCUACACAUGAUUUUAUUUCAUGCUCCACUGGACUGGAAGAUCCCAGGAGAAGGGUCUUGACAUUUUGCCCAUUGUCUCAAUCCUAGCAACUAGCCCAAGGUUUGUCAGACAAUCAGAGCUCAACUACUUGAAUGAGCAAAUAAUCAAUUGAAUAAAUAAAUAAGCAGCAUUUUGUGAUUGGGAUUCCAGUCUCCAAGCUGCAGAGGAUUGAAAGACAAAGUAACCCUUCCAAGACCACAAGCUAAAAAGGACUGAGCUGGAUUGGAACCAAGGCUGGCCUAACCAGGAAAGUCUGCAUUUUUUUGUACUACCCCAACAGUAUCAAUCCAAAGAGAUACAGGAGGAAAAUCUCAACGUGAAAGACAAAAAGGAAAUAAAGAAGCAUCGACUUUAGACCCAAAAUAAAUGUGCAGAUUGAAGGACGUGACUGCAGACAGCACUCUCCUCUGGACAUGAGGUGCUAAGUGGAGGGUGAGAGAUAACACUGCUGUGAACAUUUAUGACUAAGGUUUGGGAAGAACAUACGUUUUCAAAUCUUUUGAGUUCAUACCAAGGAAGGGAGCUGCUCAGUAAAAUACGUUCGAUUUUUUGAAGUGCUACCAAACAUUUCCAAAGUGGCUACACUGUUUCCUCUCCCACCAGGAAUGGACACGGGUACUAAUUUCUUCAUGUUAUUGCCAGCACUUGUUAUUGUCCCCCUUUUCAAUUUCAGCCACCUUUGUGUGUAGGUGGAAUUUAAUUAUGGCUUUGAUGUGCGUGUCCCUAAUGACUGAUGGUGUUGAGCAUAGUUUUACAUGGCUGUUGGCCAUUUGUGUAUCUUCUUUUGAG
rnacentral:lncRNA from 10 species